GCCAUGCAAGUCUAAGUAUAAACAAUCAUACUGUGAAACUGCGAAUGGCUCAUUAAAUCAGUUAUAAUUUAUUUGAUAGCACCUAACACAUGGAUAACUGUGGUAAUUCUAGAGCUAAUACAUGCUAAAAACCCCAACUUCGGGAGGGGUGUAUUUAUUAGAUUAAAAACCAAUGCCCUCCGGGGCUCCUUGGUGAUUCAUGAUAACUUAACGAAUCGCAUGGCCUUGCGCUGGCGAUGGUUCAUUCAAAUUUCUGCCCUAUCAACUUUCGAUGGUAAGAUAGAGGCUUACCAUGGUGUCGACGGGUAACGGGGAAUUAGGGUUCGAUUCCGGAGAGGGAGCCUGAGAAACGGCUACCACAUCCAAGGAAGGCAGCAGGCGCGCAAAUUGCCCAAUGGUGAUACACCGAGGCAGUGACAAUACAUACUGAUACAGAGCUCUUUUGGGUUUUGUAAUUGGAAUGAGUACAAUCUAAAUCCCUUAACGAGGAACAAUUGGAGGGCAAGUCUGGUGCCAGCAGCCGCGGUAAUUCCAGCUCCAAUAGCGUAUAUUAAAGUUGUUGCGGUUAAAAAGCUCGUAGUUGAACUUUGGGCUUGGCUGGCCGGUCCGCCUCACCGCGUGUACUGGUUCGGCCGAGCCUUUCCUUCUGGGGAAUCUCAUGCCCUUCACUGGGUGUGUUGGGGAACCAGGACUUUUACUUUGAAAAAAUUAGAG
rnacentral:rRNA from 1 species